UACUACUACUACUGCUGCAGCUGGAGAUAAAAUGUCUCCCAUUUUCCUCUCAAUCAUUGUUUUCAUAUACACUGCUGUAAUUAUGGGUUAACAUCAGAAACAUGCUUUCUCAAAUAUUUGACAUUGUAACAGGAACAGGUUUAACGUAAAUAGCCUGUCGCAUUUGGACUAGCGGGGAUGGGCGAAACCAGAACCAACAGGGAAGGUUCCUCAUUCAUGACCGCCCGGUUCUUUGAUAUUGAAACGUACACCCGUCUUUGGCUGGAAGACUGAGGCUUGAGGAGGCUCUCGGCAUAGCGCAGAGCGUGGUGCGUAGGACAUCUACUCCGCCUCGAGAAACACUUGGAACAAACCAUCUUGCUUUGCACAAGCUUCACGUCUGAAAACAUACGCCAUCUCCGAAAGGCAGAACAAGCAGCACAGAGAGGACUGUUGAUAUACGUAUGGUUUACUCCUCUUCUCUUGGAUGCCUUUCAAAACCUCAGCUUUAAACAUGCACACCCUCAAAAGGGUGAGCAAGACAGAAAAAUGGGGCUCCACCUCGGGAAAGGCAGGGGCACAGCCCACUGGAACUCUGCGCUCGGCUACUUCUGCCUGCUGUGGUAACAUCCCUGAGGCCUUCUCACUGUUCAGCGAGUCAGGCUGUCACUCUGAAUUAGGAGGCUACAUUAUCAAGACACGAUCAACACAACGUUGUUAACUGUGCAAAAAUUCCAGAAAAAAAAAAAAAUCAGAACACCAUCAUAAAGAAAUG